rnacentral:rRNA from 1 species
GUGAGGAAUUUUCCGCAAUGGGCGCAAGCCUGAUCCAGUCAUGCCGCGUGAACGAUGAAGGCCUUCGGGUUGUAAAGUUCUUUAGCCGAUGAUUAUAAUGACUGUAGUCGGAAAAUAAGCCCCGGCUAACUUCGUGCCAGCAGCCGCGGUAAUACGAAGGGGGCGAGCGUUAUUCGGAAUCACUGGGCGUAAAGCGUGCGUAGGCGGUCUCGUAAGUUAGGAGUGAAAGCCCAGGGCUCAACCUUGGAAUUGCUCUUAAUACUGCAAGGCUAGAAUCUCGGAGAGGAUAGCGGAAUUUCCAGUGUAGCAGUGAAAUGCGUAGAUAUUGGAAGGAACACCAGUGGCGUAAGCGGCUAUCUGGACGAGUAUUGACGCUGAGGCACGAAAGCGUGGGGAUCAAACAGGAUUAGAUACCCGAGUAGUCC